rnacentral:tRNA from 1 species
AGUUAAUAAGCUAAAAGCAUUUGUUUUGAAAACAAAAGAUAGAAUUAAAUAUUCUAUUAACUU